UACGUAGGAUGCAAGCGUUGUCCGGAAUUAUUGGGCGUAAAGAGUUCGUAGGCGGUUACUUAAGUCUGGUGUUAAAGACGGGAGCUCAACUCCCGCAUGGCAUUGGAAACUGGGUGGCUAGAGUGUGGCAGAGGUAUCGGGAAUUCCAGGUGUAGCGGUGAAAUGCGUAGAUAUCUGGAGGAACACCGGUGGCGAAAGCGCGAUACUGGGCCAUAACUGACGCUGAGGAACGAAAGCCAGGGGAGCAAAAGGG
rnacentral:rRNA from 1 species